AAAUAUUUGUGAAGGACAAUAAGAAAUCAAAAUUUGAUUAUAAUAUUAAGAGAAGAUUUAAUUCGGGCAAUGCUUGCCAACAUUCAGUCCGAGGUUUUGUCUUUUUCGUCUGCUGCCUAAAAGCAUAAAAAUUAGAAUAUACAGACCUAUUAUUUUUCCUGUGAUUCUGUAUUGGUGUGAAACUUAGUCCCUGACAUUAGGGGGACAAGGUGCUGAAGAGAAUAUUUAGACCGAAGAGAGAUGAAGUGACGGGAGAUUGAAGAAAAAUGCAUACUGAGGAGCUUCAUAACAUGUAUUCUUCGCUAAGAAUAAUUAGAAUGAUCUAGUCGAGGAGGAUGAAAUGGACAGGGGAGGUAGCACGAAAGUGACAAAGAGAAAGGCAUCGAAGAUACUAUUAGCAAAGCCAGCAGAAUAGACGCCACGACGAAGAUCAACACAAAACCUCAACAAAAUCAUAACUUUCAACGGGCUACACGCAGUUAUAUACCAGAAGCUAAUUUUUUUUUUAUUACCAGGUACUUUAUACGAACUGAAACCAAACCCAGAUGAAAGUAUAUUCAUUUAACGGAUGAUUUGCAUUGGGGAAGUUUCCUGGCAGCAGGGGCCUGAAGUCACAAAAUUAGAAGCUAGGAAGCCAUUUACAUGUGGAAGGAGAAAGGGAACAAAAGCGAGGAAAUAGCAGAUAAUGACUCUGACUUGAAGUAUGUAGAAAUUCUGAUGUUGUAGGCCUACAGAUGCAUUGGUAACAGGUAUAAAAUACAUUCAUGAUUCCGUGGAACAUUCUUACCUGUUGUGAUGGACUUGAUGGCAAACGUGCUAGUGAAGUCUGCUCGAAAUAGUGGCUCAGAAGUUUAUAACGACAAACAAACUGUAUAAUUUUCAUUGCUUUAGUUGAAUGGGAUUAUUUUUUAUAUAUGGCACAUCUACAUGAGGAUUUUUGUAUUUGUUUGCUUAUUUUUGGUGUGAAUGCCAUGGCCUCCAACAAAUAUUCAACGAGCUGCAUGUAUGUCUUCAUGUAAAGUCAUCAUUCAACAAGUUCAUUCUAAAAGAAAACUGAAAUGGCUUGACAAAUUUUCUUGUUCUGAGAUGUAACAUAUAAUUAAAAAUUCAUACAGCAGGUCUUCAGCUGUUUCAUGUGUAGAGACUGACAGAUGAUCAGAGCAGUUAACUUAAAGCACUCGUGUAUGCCUGAAAAGGAAAUGUUGCUGGGAUUGUGAAAUGUGUGCUUGGCACAGAGGCUACAUAUUGCCUUUUAAUUUACGAGUACAGAAAUCUGUUUGUUACAUAUAUUUAUCAGAGAUAUAUUGAACCGUUACACCUCUCAAUGUAUAAAUCAGUAGUAAAAGUCCAUCAAGUUUAACUAGCUUAAUAGGAAUGUUUCAGCCACUACUGGCCAUCAGAAGGUAUACCCAAUACUAUGUAUAAAGGAAUUACUUUACAUAUGUCAACGGAACAUAAACUGUCAGUAUAUACAUAUAUAUAUAAUGGCACAAUUUACUUUAAUAAUUUUAAAAAGAAAAAUUAAAGUAGGCUUAUGGGAUCAUUCUUCUUUCUCUCUGUAUCUGCCUGCCUGCGUGUCAUACGUGUACUUAUGAGAAGAAGAAGCAGUUUAACAGAAUCACGAAUUCUCACAGCAGAAUAAAGUUUAACCCAAUUUUAGAAGACAUACAACUCUGAACAGAAUCAUAUCAUUGAAGCAUAAGUUCCUAUAAAGUAGACACAAAACAAUGUAUUUAUUAAAUUAUAUAUUUAUUCUUAUUAUUUCUACACCACAUACAAUGCUAUAAAUGACCAAUAUCACUUACUUCAGGCUUCAAGUGCAACUUAAAUGAAUGUAUAAAACACUGCUUCAUGAAUUUUCAAUAGUACAAGAAAAUAAAUUGCCCUUGACAUCAUGGAACAUCAAACUGGACAGAAGCUGAAGAAUACCAUCUUCUGAUAUGUGACACUGUGUAAUUUGAUAGAAGUUCACUGCCGUUUCAGAGGAACAUACUGCCUCCAUCUUCAGGGUCGAAGAACGAUCUUGAGGAUAGAGGCAUUACAUUCCUCUGAAAUGGCCUCCCAAACAUCAGUAAACUUCUACUAGACAACAUGGUUUCACAACCUAGAAGACACUAUUUUUCAUAGUCACUACCAUCAGAACUUUCAGUUUCUCGCAGACAAUAACUGUCUACAGUGGAACCUCCAUUUAUUUUUCCUGAGUUAAGUUUUCCCUUAUUUAGAAUUAAAUUUCAGUGAUCCAAAAUCAGUAAUCUCCAUAUAAACAUUUCUUCUAAGGCAAAUAAUAGAGAAAAUGGGCAACUAUCAGGAACAAAGCUAAUGCUUUGAGGGCUGAAGAGUCAAGAAGUCAGUAAAUUUCUUGAAUUUCAGAUUUUCCAUAGUUUACUGUUCAAAUCCACUGCUCCCCAAACAAACUUGAAAUGGUGGUUUCACUGCAUAAUAAACAGACAUAUAUGGGUAAAGCCUUCAUCUUGUAAGUCAAGAAGCAGGUACUGAAACAUGUUUCCAGCUAUGGAUAUUCAGUAUAGAAAUUUACCUUCAUACUGGUGGUCUUAUUAGUACAUAACUUGACAGAGAAAACUGACAUGGCAACUUUUAAAGCAUUGGGUACUGACUGUUUCUGAAUUUUUCAUAUGGAACAGAUAAUUUUGUCAUUUUUACAAGCUAAAAUAAAACCACAAAAUUGUGAAGUGUUCUUAGGUGAUCAGCUGUGCUUCAGAUACUGUAUCUGUCUGUCAUCAAAGGUUGAUGUAAGUGAUGCAGUCACACUGUAUUUCUGCCCACAGAGUAUGCUCUUGGCUACCGAGUUUCUCAGACUUUUAACUUCAUAUUCACGCUAAUGUUCAGCCAAGGAGACUAUAUCAAUUAUAGUUGCCAUGAAAGCUUCAACUCCCAUAUCACAAAAUUACUAUAAAAUGAUAAAUAUAAGACUUCUUCUAAGUCCUAAAUACAAAAUACCUGAAGCCUUUUUCUUCCUGUACACUUGAAGCUCUGAUUUAUAAAUCACAAACCACCACACUGCGGCUUGCUUUUAGACACAAACAUGAAUAUUAGUGUACACACAGAAGAGGUAUCCAAAAUAUUCAUUCACAUGCACAUAGUGCAAAUAUAUGUUCUGUAUGAUAAAAAUUGUUCUCCCUGUGCUGACUCAAGUAGGAAAAAAAGUUGGGUAAACUACUGACUUAACUGAGGAAGGCAUUAUGGUUACUUCCAUUCAGAAGAGAUACAAUUUCCAAUAUCUAUCAAACACUCAAGAUAUAAAAAUCGAAUUUUGUGAAUGUUUCUUAAGUCUGUGGACAUGGUGCAUUCAAGGUUAUAUGUGAUUGUAAGAGAUGGCCCAGAGGGUAUAUAUUAAAAUUUGUUAAUAAUAGUAAAGGUAAUGUGGAAGAGUACUGUCUGUAGUUCAUAGAAAACCUAAUGCUUUGGAGAAACAUGUCAUCUACAUCUUAUGGUUGAAGAUUGGCUAAGCUUAGCUUGCCACCUGCUUCUUCUGGUUUCUUGCUUGGCUUACUCUUUGAGCCUGACAAAUGAGGCCAUAUUUUCCUCCAAAAUGUUAUGCUGCCUCUAAAUUACAAGGCAUUACAACUCAGAAGACCAUACUCUUCAUAGUCACUUCCAUAAGAAUCUCAAAUCCAAUAAAAGUACAGCUAUCUCUGUGUCUAAUUAAACACUAUACCAUGAAAACAUAUUCACAAAUUGAGGUAUAGCGCCAAAUACUCUUAAAGCACUAGAUAGGUCCAUAUCCCAGCUGCUAUCCUCAAAGGAGAGGGUAUCCACUGGAUAGGAGGCUGGUUGGGCACCAGAGCUGCUAUGGUCUCUGUGGAGAAGAGAUAAACAUCUUGUCCCUCUCAGGAACUGAACCCUGAUUUGACACACUCCAUGCCAUACUGUAGUCAUUGCACUGGCUUUAAAAUUUAAUACAUGUUUAUAUAAAACUCAA